UACGAAGGGGGCUAGCGUUGUUCGGAAUCACUGGGCGUAAAGGGCGCGUAGGCGGCUUUAUAAGUCUGAUGUGAAAGCCCCGGACUCAAUUCGGGAAGUGCAUUGGAUACUGUCAGGCUAGAGUGUGGGAGAGGUAAGCGGAAUUCCAGGUGUAGAGGUGAAAUUCGUAGAUAUCUGGAGGAACAACAGAGGCGAAGGCGGCUUACUGGACCACUACUGACACUGAGAUGCGAAAGCGUGGGGAGCAAACAGG
rnacentral:rRNA from 1 species